rnacentral:rRNA from 1 species
UAGGGAAUCUUCCACAAUGGGCGCAAGCCUGAUGGAGCAACACCGCGUGAGUGAAGAAGGGUUUCGGCUCGUAAAGCUCUGUUGUUAAAGAAGAACACGUAUGAGAGUAACUGUUCAUACCGUUGACGGUAUUUAACCAGAAAGUCACGGCUAACUACGUGCCAC